rnacentral:lncRNA from 1 species
CGCACUUUCGACCACACCGUGCAGGUGGCCAGCAACUCCCUGCCAAAGCCGACCGUCAGCCGUCCGUCUCGCGUCGACAGCACUGGCAAGGCGAGGAAUGCGAGCGUCGUGCUGCCUUCGAGCGACACUGCGGGGCCACCGACAGCUGGAAACGAGUGCCCGGAGAGUGUCGCGGAGCAGCAUGCGGACACUGCCGACCAGUGGAAAAGCCAGGCGGACGAUCUGGAUGCCGUCGUCGCCGAGCUGGCUCACCGCUACUUCCCUCACCUGCUACCUUUGUGAAGAAGCGCCUCGUUGUGCACGGGCUGGCACGGAGCUCGUACUACCGCGAGCGCCGUUACCACCGCUGGCGGUUUCUCACACUGUGUAUAAACCGCAGUGUGGCAGUCGUGUGCUGCAGUUACUCAUGUUGAUACUUCAAUAAAUUUUUUUUCUGAUACUCA